GUGUGCGCACUUGUAUGGUUUCUCUCCAGUAUGAAUUCUCUCAUGUGCUUUCAGGCAAUGUAACCAAGUGAAACUCUUUCUACAAUGUGAGCACUUGUAUGGUUUCACUCCAGUAUGAAUUAUCUCGUGUUUUUUCAGGUCUUGUGACUGAGCGAAACUCUUUUCACAGUGUGAGCACUUGUAAGGUUUUUCUCCAGUAUGGAUUCUCUCGUGUUUUUUCAGGUGAUGUGACUGAGUGAAACUCUUUUCACAGUGUGAGCACUUGUAAGGUUUUUCUCCAGUAUGGAUUCUCUCGUGUUUUUUCAGGUUUUGUGACUGAGUGAAACUCUUUUCACAGUGUGAGCACUUGUAAGGUUUUUCUCCAGUAUGGAUUCUCUUGUGUUUUUUCAGGUUUUCAGACAGAUUGAAACUCUUUCCACAGUGUGAGCACUUGUAAGGUUUUUCUCCAGUAUGGAUUCUCUCGUGUUUUUUCAGGUCUUGUGACUGAGUGAAACUCUUUUCACAGUGUGAGCACUUGUAAGGUUUUUCUCCAGUAUGGAUUAUCUCAUGUGUUUUCAGGUUUUGUGACUGAGUG